GACGAACGCUGGCGGCGUGCUUAACACAUGCAAGUCGAACGGAAAGGCCCUGCUUUUGUGGGGUGCUCGAGUGGCGAACGGGUGAGUAACACGUGAGUAACCUGCCCUUGACUUUGGGAUAACUUCAGGAAACUGGGGCUAAUACCGGAUAGGAGCUCCUGCUGCAUGGUGGGGGUUGGAAAGUUUCGGCGGUUGGGGAUGGACUUGCGGCUUAUCAGCUUGUUGGUGGGGUAGUGGCUUACCAAGGCUUUGACGGGUAGCCGGCCUGCGCGGGGGACCGGCCACAUUGGGACUGAGAUACGGCCCAGACUCCUACGGGAGGCAGCAGUGGGGAAUAUUGCACAAUGGGCGGAAGCCUGAUGCAGCAACGCCGCGUGCGGGAUGACGGCCUUCGGGUUGUAAACCGCUUUCGCCUGUGACGAAGCGUGAGUGACGGUAAUGGGUAAAGAAGCACCGGCUAACUACGUG
rnacentral:rRNA from 1 species